CUGCUCGUGCGGGCGUCGUGGCCCUGUCUGGGGCUGUCGCCGCCGGAUCUGGCUCCUCAAUGGUGGUGUGUGGCGACGGCAGGUAGGCAGCAACCUGCCGUGCCCUACUGGCGUCUGCGGUGGUGCGCGUGCCAUUGGAUCUGGCGUGUCGCACUAGCUGCUGCCAGGGAUGGCCGACGGGAGGUGCGGCGCGAGGUGCUGCCUCCGCUCGACCAGGUCCAUGGGUCCAGCCAGAGGUGGUGGUGGUCGACGCAGCUUUGCGGCUGUUGUGGCAGCUGGCGCGUCGAUGUCCCUCUGGAUGGGUUUGUGUGUGUUGUGUGGGCGGCGGUGGCGGCAAAGGUGGUUGCUUUGUCACGGGUUCUUGGUCGGUCGUUUUGCUGGGAUUUUCUUGGGCGAAAGCUUUGGCGACGGCGACGCCCCUGGGCGCCGCUUCCCCUGUUGAGGGCGUCGGCUCCCCAGCACUGUCUUACGUGGGCGAAAGCCCGGUCCAUCUCGGACCGGCGACGAUGGCGUCCUCAACGUCACUCCCUUCCUGAAGGCGUCGCUACUGAAGUUUGUAUCGGCCAUACCGUAGCCUGUGGUGGUUGCUUUCAUCUUUCGGAUGUCAGUUUGCGUGUGGAGGUGGGGGCUUGCAUCAUGAAGUUGAAGCUGCUACGUCAGGGGAUGUGGCUCGGCAACGAUGACGUGGGGCGAACCCCCCUUCUUCGUGGGUUGGUCUACUUCGAAGAUGAGGAAUUUGGCGGAGGCGGGGCGGUGGAUUAA
rnacentral:misc_RNA from 1 species